rnacentral:rRNA from 1 species
UACGAAGGGGGCUAGCGUUGUUCGGAAUUACUGGGCGUAAAGGGCGCGUAGGCGGACUGUUUAGUCGGGGGUGAAAGCCCGGGGCUCAACCUCGGAAUUGCCUUCGAUACUGGCUGUCUUGAGUACGGGAGAGGUGAGUGGAAUUCCGAGUGUAGAGGUGAAAUUCGUAGAUAUUCGGAGGAACACCAGUGGCGAAGGCGGCUCACUGGCUCGACACUGACGCUGAGGUGCGAAAGCGUGGGGAGCAAACAGG